UACGGAGGGUGCAAGCGUUAUCCGGAUUCACUGGGCUUAAAGGGCGCGUAGGCGGGCGAGCAAGUCUAGGGUGAAAUCUUUCGGCUUAACCGGAAAAUAGCCUUGGAUACUGCUGGUCUCGAGGGAGGUAGGGGUCGUUGGAACUUCCGGUGGAGCGGUGAAAAGCAUAGAUAUUAGGAGGAACACCAGUGGCGAAGGCGAGUCUCUGGCACGCAUCUGACGCUGAGACACGAAAGCCAGGGGAGCGAACGGG
rnacentral:rRNA from 1 species